ACAGUGCAAAAGGCCAUAGCAGAAGCGCUCAUGUCAUGGUCCUGUCAGAUUUUAACAAAUCCACAAAUUCUGCU
rnacentral:ribozyme from 1 species